rnacentral:rRNA from 1 species
UACGUAGGUGGCAAGCGUUGUCCGGAAUUAUUGGGCGUAAAGCGCGCGCAGGCGGUCCUUUAAGUCUGAUGUGAAAGCCCACGGCUCAACCGUGGAGGGUCAUUGGAAACUGGGGGACUUGAGUACAGAAGAGGAAAGCGGAAUUCCACGUGUAGCGGUGAAAUGCGUAGAGAUGUGGAGGAACACCAGUGGCGAAGGCGGCUUACUGGUCCGGUUCUGACGCUGAGGCGCGAAAGCGUGGGGAGCAAACAGG